rnacentral:lncRNA from 1 species
UUUUGAGACAGGGUCUCACUUUGUCACCCAGGCUGGAAUGCAGUAGUACAAGCAUGGCUCACUGCAGCCUCAACCUGUCAGGCUCACGCAAUCCAAGCUAUCCUCCCACCUCAGCCUCUUGAGUAGCUGGGACUACAAGUGCCUGCCACAUCUAAUUUUUUGUAUUUUUUGUAGAGAUGGAGUUUUGCCAUGUUGCCCAGGCUGGUCUCGAACUUCUGAGCGCAAGUGAUUCAUCUGCCUUAGCCUCCCAAAGUGCUGGGGUUACAUGCAUGAGCCACCAUGCCCGGCCAUAUAUCCUACUAUUCUUUAAGAUUCAGUUCAAGUUCCAUCCGUGUGUGAUGUCUCCUUGACCACUCACUGCACAAUUCUCUCCCUCAUAUGCAUAUUUUAUUUUCCUUCCAAUAGAUAUCCUGUGUUAAUUAUAUGUUAUCAUAUC